AUUGAACGCUGGCGGCAGGCCUAACACAUGCAAGUCGAACGAGUGGCGGAAGGGUGAGUAAUGUCUGGGAAACUGCCUGAUGGAGGGGGAUAACUAAUGGAAACGGUAGCUAAAACCGCAUCCCAUCGCAUGUGCUGAGAUGGGAUUUGCUAGUAGGUGGGGUAAAGGCUCACCUAAGCGACGACCCCUAGCUGGCCUGAGGGGUUGACCAGCAACACUGGAACUGGUAAACGGUCAAGACUCCUACGGGAGGCAGCAGUGGGGAAUAUUGCACAAUGGGCGCAAGCCUGAUGCAGCCAUGCCGGGUGUAUGAAGAAGGCCUUCGGGUUGUAAAGUACUUUCAGAGGGGAGGCGUUACCCGCAGAGGAAGCACCGGCUAACUCCGUGCCAGCAGCCGCGGUAAUUC
rnacentral:rRNA from 1 species